CCUACGGGAGGCAGCAGUGGGGGAUAUUGGACAAUGGGGGGAACCCUGAUCCAGCGACGCCGCGUGAGUGAAGAAGUAUUUCGGUAUGUAAAGCUCUGUCAGCAGGGAAGAAAGAAAUGACGGUACCUGACCAAGAAGCCGCGGCUAACUACGUGCCAGCAGCCGCCGUAAUACGUAGGGGGCAAGCGUUAACCGGAAUUACUGGGUGUAAAGGGGGCGUAGACGGUUAAGUAAGUCUGGAGUGAAAGGCCGGGGCCCAACCCCGGGACUGCUCUGGAAACUAUUGAACUUGAGUGCAGGAGAGGUAAGCGGAAUUCCUAGUGUAGCGGUGAAAUGCGUAGAUAUUAGGAGGAACACCAGUGGCGAAGGCGGCUUACUGGACUGUAACUGACGUUGAGGCUCGAAAGCGUGGGGAGCAAACAGGAUUAGAUACCCCAGUAGUC
rnacentral:rRNA from 1 species